rnacentral:rRNA from 1 species
AACGAACGCUGGCGGCAUGCCUAACACAUGCAAGUCGAACGACACCUUCGGGUCUAGUCGCGCACGGGUGCGCAAAGCGUUGGAUCCUGCCCUUAGGUUCGGAAUAACUCCCCGAAAGGGGUGCUAAUACCGGAUAAUGUCCUCGGUCCAACGUUUUAUCGCCUUUGGAUGGGCUCGCGUUAGAUUCGCUAGUUGGUAGGAUAAAAGCCUACCAAGGUGAGGAUCCAUAGAUGGUCUGAGAGGCUGAUCAGCCACACUGGGAGUGAGACACGGCCAAGACUAAGACGGGAGGCAGCAGUGGGGAAUUAUGGGCGAUGGGCGAGAGCAUGAUGAGGCAAGGCCGCGUGAGUGAUGAAGGGCUUCGGGUUGUGAAGCAAUUGUGGCGGGAGGGAAAAGGGGUGUGACAAUACGAGGGGUAGAAGAAGGUGCCAGGAGAAUAAGCAACGGCGAACUACGUG